UAAAAAACAAUAGCUAAGUCAACAUGGAUGAAUUCUAAAAUCAAUAUGUGAGUAAAAGAACUGGGUACAAAAAUACCUACUCUGUGAUUCCAUGAAUAUAAAAUCCUAGAGAAGACAAACUGAUCCAUAGUGAUAGAAAGCAGAUCAGCGGUUGCCUAAGUAUCAAGUGGUGGGGAAUAGAGAGAAGGAAUGGGUUCCAAAAAGUACUAGGAAAUUUCUGGGGGUGGUGGACAUGUUUAUUUUCUUGACUGUGGCAAUUGCUUCAUGGGUACAUACAUAUGUACAACUCACCAAGUUAUACACGACAAAAAUAUGCAAUUUAUUGUAUAUGAAUUACACCUCAGAGCUACUAAAAAAAAAUUAACCUACCGAAUGGUUUUCCAAAGUGGUUGAACCAAUCUGUACUCCAUCAGCAGCGUGUGAGAAUUCUAGUUGUCUACCACAUUGUUGCCAACAUUUGGUUCUAAUCAGUCCUUUUAAUUUUGGUGGUAGUGUGGCGGUAUCACAUUUUUGGUUUUCAUUUGCAUUUUCCUCAUCAAAUGACAUUGAGCACCUUUUCAUCUGCACAUGGGUCAUUUGAAUAUCCUCUUCUGUUAAAUGCCAACUUCAAGUGUUUUCCCAUUUGUCUGUUGCAUUCUUAGUCUUUUGAUUUGUAGGUCUUUGUGUAUUUGGAUGAGGCCCUUGUCAUGACAGGGAGGGAGGGAGUUCUCUUCUCAGUGUGUCACCUCCCUUUUCACUCUCUGAAUGUUGUCUUUUGAUGAAGAGUUCUUAAUUUUAAUGGAAUCCAAUUUAUUAAAUUUUUCUCUUGUUUAGUGGUUUUUACAUCUUGUUUUAAAAAUGUUUGCCUGCCUAAAGUUGUAGAGACACCGUCUGUGGUUUUGGUUUUGUUUUGUUUUGUUUUGUUUUGUUUCUGGUAGCAUAUUGCUUUAACAAUCAUAUAUACACGUCUAUGUUUUUAAAAAAAAUUUUUUGGUAUACUGUGAAAUAGAGUGUGAAAUAAAGGAUCAAUGAACCUUUUACUUUAAGGGAUUUCAGUUGACCCACCAUUAUUUAUUGAAAAGACCAUCCCUUCCUGUACUGAAUUGCGAUGACAUCUUUGUCACAAACCAAGCAGCCAUAUGAAAACCAUUUCUUAAGCCUUAUUUGUAGUUUUCUUCUGCUGCGUUUACAGGCUUUGUAUCAAAGCUAUGCUUUGAACACAUAGGUGUUCUUUAUACCCUUUUUUUUUUUUGCAAUUUUUGUUGUAAGUUUUAAAGUAUUUCCAAGUAAAAAGGAAUAUGUAUAUUAUACAACAUAUAUAUUCUUUUUGUCUUCCCCGUCUCUUUUUUUAUUAAACAGUAUAUCUUGAAGGUUUGUCCAUGGUACUAUAUAGAGAGAUGGCUCAUUGUUUUUCAAGAUUGCUAUUAUUACAUUGUCUGGGAAUCUAGUGCACCAUAAUUGAUCUAAGUAACAGUACAUAGAUGGCCAGUGAGGUUGUUUUAAAAUCCGUUGAUACUGCCAAGAUGCUGUUGUGAAAUGCCCUUUAAAAGGUGGUGGUUCAUGUGUGUAAGCAUACCUGUGUAAACACCUAGGCGUGGAACUGCCACAUCAAAGAAUAUGUGAGCUUCUAAUUUUAAUAGUUAGCACCAAAUUAUCCAGUAUACACUUCUACUACUUUCUUGACAGUGCUGGCGUUCUCAUAGUCAGCAACACAAUGCAUCAUGGAACUCUAUUUCCAAUCUGAUAGUUGAAAACAUUGAAUUUCUUUGUAGUUUUAACUUGCAUGGCUCUUUUGGUUUAAACGUUGCCUGUAUUUUCUUUUCUGUGAACUAUCUGCUUAUAUCCUUCACCUUCUCUGUUGGGGUACUGGCUUUUUUUUUUUUUUUUUAGUUGGUUUGUAGGAGGUCUUUGUAUGUUAAGAAAGCCUCUUGUCUGUGAUCACAUAACAUGUUUGAGCUGGAAACAAUAACCUGACAAUAAUCGAGUUCAGCACUAUCAUGUUACAAAUUUAAAAACUGGCUUAAGGAUAUGAAAUGACUUGCGAUUCCACAGCCCAGGAUUUUUGACUCGUGGUUUAGAAAUUUUACACGGUACCAUGUCAACCCUAGGACAGAAAGAACCAGUACCCACCCUUUCAAAAUGGAUAAGCAUUGGGAUUUCGGGAUUUUGCCCCUCUACCUUGGCCCCAUUUUUUUCUCACUAGUUCAUUUAGGGAAAUAGCUCCCUCCCCCACUCGGUUUGCACCUCUGAUUCACCACACUUGCCUUUAUCAAAGUUCUAACUCCCCUCAAGCAAAAUGACUUCUUGACUUCUCCUACAAAUUCUCAUUCUUGAGCCAGCUUCUGUUAAAUGAAGAUCCCUGCAUUGGGCAAGACAGAAGGAUGAAAAGGAAAUGGAAGUUUCAUUCCCUGCCUUGUUGAACAGUCCAUUUGAGGAUACAUAGCAAAUGCUGAAUUUAUUUGAAAACGAGGCCCUAAUUCUUGCUAAUGCUCACAGCAUACAAAUCAAGCAAGUGAUUAAAUGGGUUUGUAUCAGUCAGAAAAGGACUCCUGCAAGUUAGGUUUUUACUUCAGAUCUAGAAAGAAGUCAUGUGUGUAGAUUAUAACAAUACCAAUUAACACACAUAUCGCUUUCUAGUCUCAGAGAACAUUACAGACAUCAUCUCUUUUCAUCCUAACGGUGGUACUUUUUUCUCCUUUCAUUCAUGAAUAAACUGUAGAAUGAUAGACCAAACAGCUUGUUCAGACAGCCUGGAAGGGCCCAGGCCUUCUCUGUCUAGGACCUGUGAUCUGUCCACUACAGCAUACUGCUUCAGUUUGGCAGAGGAGGGGAACGGAGUGGGGAGGAAGUGAAGGUGGUGAAUGGAGUCACAGAUUUGACCUCUUUUAAGAGACCCUGUGGGGUAGUGAGAAGACUGUAAUUUUGGAGUCAGACAAGAUUUGAAUCUGCCUUGCCAUUUACAAGUUGUGACCUUGGCAAGUUACGUAGCCUCCAUUUUUUCAGCUGCAGAAUGGAGUUGAUAUCUACUCUUGAAGGUUGCCUGACACGCAGCAGGCAUCUGGCAAAUGGUAGCUCCUUUAGCCAGCAGUGGGCCACAGCAACAACGUGGGUUGCUUUUCCCCUGCACGUGUUGUUGAUUGACGUGGUGGAAGCAACGAGAGUGGGAAGCAACAGGCAUAAAAAACCAAAGGGCAUUUAGUCCUGGGGAAGAGCGCUGCCCUUGUCCCUCGGACUCUUCUCAGGCUCCUGUCCUGGCAGGGAGAUCUCUGUAACCAUAAGGAAGAGCUUCCGGAGAAAAGUAGAGAUUGUGCUCUCCAGACGCAGUCCUGACUUGACGUAGCACGUGAGACGACGUGUGUCCAGAGUACACUGGAGACCGUGAACCUGAGUUCCGGUCUCGGUGGUAGAAGAGGGGCUUGCCCUUCUUUGCCUUUGCCACUUUCCAGCUCUGUGUUCUCAAAUGAAUCCAUUAACUUCCUCGCUCCAGGGUCACCUAUGAAGUGGGGCUAGUCAUCCAUGUAUCAUAGACCUUCCAAGGAUCAAACUAGAAAUUCAGUUAACACUUACACAAUAUCUACUGUGAUGGCUAAUUUUAUGGGUCCACCUGGAAGGUGUUUUAAAUGGGAUUACAUUUAAAUUGAUGGAUUUUGAGUAAGCAGAUUAUCCUGUACAAUGUACAUGGCUCUCAUUCAGUCAGUUGAAGUCCUGGUUAGAACAAAAAGAUCAGCCUCCCCCAGCAAAAAGGAAUCCUCCAGCAGACUGCCUUCAGAUUUCACCUGCACCACUAGUUUUCCUGGAUCUCCAGGCUUCCGGCCCACACUGCAGAUUUUGGACUGGCCAACCUCCAUAAUCAUGUGAACUAAUCUCGUAAUAAGUCUCCUCUCUCUCUCUCUUUCUCCCUCUUCCUCUCUCCCCUCUCUAUCUCUUCUCUCCUCUCUCUCUCUUUUCUCUCUCUCUCUCUCUCUCUCUCUCUCUCUCUCUCUCUCUCUCUCCUAUUGGUUCAUUUCUCUGGAGAACCUGACUAAUACAACUGCUAUGUGUCAGGCAUUGUUCUAGAGCCUGGGGCACACUGUUGAAGGAGACAGGGAACAAGUAUUCUUGAGGGGCAAGAGUCAGACAAUUAGGCAAACAAGGCAAUAUCAGAUAGUGAUGUGAAUAAAAUGCAAAACCAGGUGCUGAUUGUGAUUGCGUGGGGCUCCUUCGGAUUGGGUGGAUCUGGGUGGAACAUUAUUAUAGACUGGGGCAUGCAGAGCUUCUUAGGAAUGAGCUCAGUGUGCUUGUGCAGAGAGGAAGUGAGUGUGCCUGGAAACAGAGCCGUGCAAUAAAGAGUGGUAGGAGAUGAGGUAGGUUAAGGUCGCAAGGUCACAUCAGGUAGGCCUAGUAUUCUCAUGGAAAAAAAUUUAGGUUUCGUUCUAAAUACAGCGGGGAAACCAUUGAGGAGUUUUGUGCUAACACACGACAUAUGGUGAUUUACAUACACACACACAUCUUUUUUUUUUUAACUUAUUUAUUUAUUUUGAGUAAAAACGAGUGAGUGUGCGUGCAAGUGGGGUAGGGGCAGAGAGAGGGGGAGAGAGAAUCCCAAGCACAGAUCGUGGGGCUCAAUCCCACGAACCAUGACAUCACGACCUGAGCCGAAGUCAAGUGCCGGAUGCUUAAGCGACUGAGCCACCCGGGUGCUCCCACACACACGUCUUAAUGGAGGUGAAAUUCACAUAACAUACAUAAAAUUCUAAAGUGAAUAUUGUAGUGGCAUUUAGUACAUUCACAAGGUUGUGCAGCCACCACCAAUGUAUAUUUUUAAAAAAUCGUUCUGGUCAGCAUGUGGAAAAUGGGUGGCGGAGGAGCAAGGCACAAAAGAACAAACGUGUUUGGAGGCUGACGCCGAAGAGGUGAGGGUGCCAGGGUGGCAGCAGGGAAGAUGGGGAGAGCGGACGGGUCCACAGGGCACACUUUAGAAGAAGAGUCCGCAGACCUUUAACAGAUCCAAUGUGCUAUGUGAGGGGAACGUGAAAUGUACAUGAAAGCCUUUUGUAGACUCUGCAGACUGUAAAAUGUCUUCGUGACUAUGACUGGGAUUGUCUGGUUAUUAAAGAGCCAGACUGGUUGGUUUGUCAAGGUCCCUUGGAUUCCUGAAAUCCUCUCACGCUUUAAACCUGGGUAAACUGCCUUUGGGGAAAAAGAGAAGGUUUAUUAGAAGAUGUCCCUGAUCCAUGCAGUGCCCAAGUGCUUCCAGAAGACAGCUCCAGGGCACCGUCCAACCAAAUACUUGUUGACAACAGGCAAAGCCUGCCUUCCUCGAGCCAGCAAAGCUAGGUCAUGGCCUGGAGGCGUGCAUGGGAACUGGCAGGCCCGGGGUUCGGCAUCCCAGACACUACACUCUUAAGAAGGAAGUGCCCUGACGCCUGGGCUCUGAGGCCUCCUAGAUGUCCAGUAAAAACAGACUGGGUGGCGAGGCCCCAGGCCAGAGAAGGGAGACUGCUUCCAGUGGCACAGCCCCAUGCCGAUGAUGAUUCUUGCUGGCACCGAGCACGCCUCAGAAGGUUAUAGCACUUUCCCCAGAAUCCCGGGGAGCUGGAGUCUGAGACCUUGUGCCCAAGGGGAGGUUCAGCGUCUGACACCAUCGGGGCGCAGGCCACAUUCAGGUGGCAAGAGUCUUCAAGAAAGACGGUUUCUUCCCUCCUUCCCUUCUCUGCUUUGAGGAGCUUGCCAUAAACCCAAAUCUGUUUGGUUUUCAGCCUUUGCGGUCUCCUCUGGAAGAAAGUGACCUCUUUUGCCCAUAAGAUUUAGCUUUUGAGAGUUGGGCCCCAACUGGGCUGGGAAUGCACUUCCUUAAACAGAGAGUUUCUCACUAAGCAAAUGAAGAAGCUGAAUUAACUCUUUAAAGUCACUUGAGGAAUAGUGCCACCGCGUUAUAAUUGGUGAACCAGCCCCUUUUCUGUCUGAAAGAAGAGGCAGCCCUUAGAUACCAUUCAAGCUGUGGUCCUCAAUGCGUGGCCCCCCAACCUCCAUCACCUGGGACUUGUGAGAAAUAUGCAGAUUCUUGGACCCCACCCCUGACCCACUAAAUGAGACACUCUAGUGGUGGUACCCAGCAGUCUGUGUCCUCACAAGUCUUUUGAGAGGUGUUUGUUUUGUUUUGUUUUGUUUUGUUUUUUUAAUAUAAUUGAUUGUCAAAUUGGCUAACAUACAGUACGUAAAGUGUGCUCUUGUUUUUGGAGGUAGAUUUCCCAUGCUUCAUCGCUUAGGUACAAUACCCAGUGCUCAUCCCAGCAAGUGACCUCCUCAAUGCCCAUCACCCAUUUUCCCCUCUCCCCCGCACCCCCUGCCACCCAGAGGUUAUUUGACGCAUGCAAGUUGGGAGGGACUACCGCCUUAGAGAAACAGAAACAGAGAACCUAGGAAGUCUGAGCAGAGCAAUCAGGUGGUGAUCCCACGAUGGAUGGAGGAGAUGAGGCCCAGAGAGAGAAGGCAACUGGUCCUAGGAGAUGUAGAGGGUGGAUAGCCUUUUGGUCUCUCUGGAUUCUCUCCUUUCCCUCAGGGAAACUCGGACUUUUCUUUUGAAUCGUUGUCCUCUCUCAGAAGUUCCAGUUGCUCACCAGACCUCACAUUAUCAAAUAACUUUUAACAUUUACUCUGUGAGUUUUCUAGACAUCUGGCCAUUUUAUGCAGUAAAAGGUAAAAGACGUACGUAGAAUGCUAAAGAGAUCUUAAAUUUUUUUUUUUAACGUUUAUUCAUUUUUGAGAGACAGAGUGUGAGCAGGGGAGGGGCAGAGAGAGAGGGAGACACAGAAUCCAAAGCAGGCUUCAGGCUCCGAGCUAUCAGCACAGAGACCAACACAGGGCUCGAACUCAUGAACAGUGAGAUCAUGACCUGAGCCAGAGUUGGACACUUAACCAACUGAGCCACCCAGGCACCCCUAAAGAGAUCUUAGAGUAUGGCCUAGAUAGGGUUCCUUGGAGGCAGAUCCGAUGCCAAGAAUUACAGUGUAGCAGUUGGGUGUACUUCCAUAGGGACACCUAUGAUGAUUGGUCAGAAGAAGAAACUAAUCUUUAAUAUAGUUGUAACUGAGCCCUUAGACAAUCUGAUGGAAUUCUGGAGCUGGAAUGAGCUUUCAGAAUGACUUCCAACUGAAGCCAGGAGGCCUGGCCUUUAUAAUGCUGCAUUAGCCAGUCCUGGAUGUGAGCCACCCCUGGGAGGGGCCUCAAUCUUGGGCCAGGCAGUUCUCUGCCAAGGGCACUGACCUAGUAAGGGACACAGCUGAGAGCCUUCAGCAGCUGGGAGCUGGGUGCCUCAGCCCUGAAGAGGGGACCUGGAGAGAACAGAAGGUAUUCAAGAUUUGUGAGGAUUAGAAGAAUUCAUCUGCCGAAAGUAAAACCAAAACACCCUGAGACUCAGUGUUAAAAGAAUCAGAUCCUAAAAGAAGGUGUGUUGCUGAUGAGACUGGAGAACUUACCAUCUCUACUAAAUACCCCCAAGUCCAGUGAAGAAGAUCAUGAUAAAAAACAGACUCACUGAAGUGAAAGGGCCCAACAUCACACAGGUGGUGAAGUCAGAAUUCACACCCCAAGGUCUGCCCAGCUCCAGAGCUGGCGUUCUCCCCAUGACGCUGCCUGCUUUCGGUGACAGUCGCUGCCAUUUACUGAGUGCCACGUACUGAGAUGUGAAAAAAGAAGCAUAUAGCCUAGUGGCUGCUAGUGGACAACUUGCAACUAGCCUGUGGUCAAAACAGACACAUGGAAGAGAGCAGAGCCAAAGCAAUUCAAGGUGGACUCUAUGGAGCCUCUGAUUUGUGUGUAAACACAGACACAGACGUGGGCACCAAAAUCCUACGUGUACUUGGCCAUAAGGAGCCAUCGUGGUGACUCAGAAUAUGCUUAUAUCAAUGUAUUAAAUUAUCGACAAAAUAAACGCAAUUGAAAAUCCUUAGGGAGAACUCAUGUACCCUCAAGAGGACUCCAGCGGUCUGAAGCAUGCAGGAUUCGGAAUCAGAGACCUGAGAUUGAGCCCUGGCUCCCUGCUUCCUGCUCUGUGACCUUGCACAAAGAUUUACCUUCUCUGGACCCUCAGUUUCCUCGUCUCUAAAAGGGAGAUGGAAUUCACCUGAAUUCACUUCGCUCACAUGAAGUAUCUGCUGUGAGCCAGGACUCCAGUGCUUUCCUUCCUCACCUAAAAGAGUUGUUUUAGGGAUCAAAUGAGAUUACUUAGGAGGAAGCGUUGCACAAAACGCAAGCUCAGUACAGUUGUUAGUUAUUUUGUUCUCUUGCACUUUCUUCCCUUCUGAGCCAGAGGAGCCCCUCUGCACUUUGUAGAAAUCUGUCUCCAAGGUACUUCUCACACCUCCCCCCUGAGUUCUCAUCAUACCUUCUAUAAAUCUAAUAGGUCUCUCACUGUCUGUUUACCUGGCUCUCUCCUCCCUGGCCAAGAGAUGGGUGAGGUCAGGGCUAGGGCCCAGCACGGCGCCUGACACACAGGAGGUAAACAAAAUGAAUGUUUGUUAGUGGAGAGCCCUGAAGGCUGUAGGUAGGGAAGACGAGGCCCAAGAGGCCAGGACAAAGAAUUCAGACAUGCCUUCCCCGCUCGAUUUUGUCUGAGCCUGGCUCUUUUGACACCUCCAUUUCUGGCCUCCACCACAACUCACAUGUCAGUCCACCUAAAAACGCACCGACGGUGACAGCACAAGCAAGCCAUGAGUUUGUUCUGAAAACUGGGACCAAGUCAGGGCUUUGCGGCUCCAAGAGCCUUUUGGAGAGUGACUGGGGAAUUUGAUGCUGCUUUCACAUUUGGUGCCACCAGUCCCUGUCCCAAGGUCCAGCACAGUGACGGGUGUGGCUCCCUGGCUCUUUGCAGGGCCCUUGACGGGGUGUGCUCCUGGGCUGGCUUUAUCAACUGAGAGAAGAGGGCCAGAGGACUGGGUUAGCAGCAGCUAUGCCAGGAAAGGAGGAUGGGUAGGAGGUGCAGAAAGGGCUAGAUUUCCUGAAUCUCAUUGGCCUGCUCCCCGAACCAGGGUGGGGUAGGGUGGAGCAGCUAUUCCACAGAGAGCAGCUAUUCCACACUUUGCCGAGCCCAGAUAGCAGGUCCGUGAGAACCGCUUAAUUGUCCACAGGGAGAGGACGUCUCACUCUGGCAGAAGACGUAAGCUAACCAGAAUCAGCCCCCAUCCUCUCCUCCCUUCUCCCCUCCCUCUGUGAAUUCAGUUUGAUGGGUACAAGAUGAGGUGCCAGGGCUUUGAUCCCGGGACAGGCUGCCCAGCCUCGAGUAUGGGACAUUCAGAAAGAGUUCAAGGCAUGUUUUGUUUUGGGACUCGGAAAGGGAGUUCUUCUGUGAGCCCACCUUGGCCAGGGUACGAAAUGCCUCAUUCAGGGCUCAACUGUAGCAACGCCUUUUUUUCUCAGUCUGAUAGGAUAUGAAGACCAAAAUUUAGGCUCAACCUUGUAAUCCUCUCUCCAAAAUCGUUGUUGUUUACUAUACAGAUUUUCUCCUCUCACCACCUUUACUGUCUGGUUCCUGUUAUCUUUUGACUGUGUCAGUCAUAUUAGUCUUAUUAUUCCUAUGAUUUGUAUCGUAAAAAUCCAUCUGGCAUUAGCUACUAGGUAUAAAACAGUCAGAUCAAGGUCAGAUCUGUUCUUGUUAACCUAGAUAUACUUCUGCCUUAUCAAAAAUGCUCCUUAUGAUUUUUAUAACCAAAAGGUUUUGACUCUAAAUACAGUUUUAAGAAUUAAAAGUCAUUUAAAUUGCAAACAUCAAACAUAGAUAUGUAUUUUUGCAAAUAUAUUUGCAAAACAUAUAAUAUACGCCAGCACCACAGAGUAGGCCCACCCCUACACACAGUGACGUAUGAAUUUUAACCAGGACAGUUGAGUGUGUGGCUUUGUCACAGUACAGAUUGAAACCAGAUGGGCUUCUGAAACAUGUUGCAUGUAAAUGGUUGGCCUGAACAGAGAAUUCUAUUUGAAUGCACUUUUUUUGGACAUUCAGCAGCUGACAGGUGUUUUCAAUGGCCUCAAGCCUUGUCUCUGGCUAUUCUCCUUUGCCUGUGGCCACGGGGCUCCCCCACCCCCAUCCAUUCCUCAGAAAGCGUACGGCUGAAGAGUCCUCUCCCCUCUCUUUCAUAGGGUGGUUCCCUGAAGGAUACAGUCUCUGUCCAUCCCCAGAACGCCACUAGCCACUUUUUUUCACUGCUAAUGUUGCAUCCACAUGACUCCUGAAACAAUGCUACGGGCACCAGUGACAGUCACAACAAGGUUUAUUGCAAUGAGAGGCAAGGCCGACGGAUCGGGACCGACACUAUUGAUCAGAGUGCAGCCUCGAACAGCCGGGGUACAGAGUUUUUAUAGCCGACCACAUCGUCUUAUCAUCACCUGGGAACAGAACAAAGGAACAGUUCCCAGAUGGGGGUGGAAAUAGUUCCAACCUUCUGCCGUUAAGCCGCAACCAGUUGACCUCCUUGACCUUGCCUCCGGUGCCAUUUUUUCAAAGUUCUCAACAUGCCCUUGCCCCAAUCCAAUCAAACACUAAUCCAGUUGAUUUUCCUUGAACUUUUGUUCCCUUGAUUGAUAGGACAAGGCUGUUAUCUCUUAACCUAUAGUGUCAAAACAAAGCUGUUAUUUCUCAAGGCUACAGGUUAGCCCUACACUACAAUUUAACCCUGACACUAAGAAACAGGUUUGAAGGCUAGGCUGCUGGGGCAGGGGAGGGGGGGAGAAUAUAGCUUCUUCGUUUCUCUCUAGCUCCGCUACUUCCACGUUCUUUCUCUCUUAAACCAUGACCACCGCACCAAAGCCUGGAUGAGGAUUUUAAGCACAUUCCAGAGGCAGCCACCAAGUUGAGUGUCACUCAACUUACAGCACAAGCCUGCCAGAGCCUGAGGCUGUCAGGGGGUGUGAACUAGAUCACACCCAACCUCGUGCUAGAGUCACAGAGCCCCAGUGCUCACAAACCCUGUGUUCCCAGAGAAGUCACUUGUCACUGUUUUGCACUCGCGUUUCCCCAACUCUAAAAUCCAUGGGAAAACGGAGAUGACCCUUAGUCGGCCUCCAGAUUCAAGACUCUCCAGGGAAACGUGGGCAUUGGGCAUGGCCACUAGGUGGCAGUACGUGGAAGGCCACGGGAGCUGGAGCCAUUGACUGGCAGGAAGUGCUCUGAAAUCCUUAGGGCCUCUGAGAGGCCCAGGUGCAGCCUGAGGGAAAAGCUGUGGAGAUCACUCAUUCAGCUUGUCCCCACAUAUUUACUGAGGACCAGCGUUUUGUCAUCUUCUGCCCUUCCCCUGUCUGCACUUGGGGCUGGUCACGGGGACAGGUGUAUACCCUUUCUCUUCCUUUUCCUGGCAAACUGCCACACGUUUGACUCAGCUGAAUGAGGUCUCUUAUGAAGCUUUCUCUGGAAAAACCCCUCUCACGUACUUCUCAGACAAUGUUCAUUGUUGUCACCAUGUCUCCUCACCAUCCUUAAUCCACACCUUGAUCAUGCCACGUACCCCCGCAGAGUGAUCAUUCCCUUGCCUGGUUCCAUUACUGGAUUAUAAAAUCCAUCUGUGUCUCCCCAGUGCCCAGCACGGGACUGGUGCAAUGCCUGCUGCUCUAUAUUUGUUUUUCUGAUGACUUAACUCACGAAUAGGUUUGGGAAGACCAAAUGAACCCCUUUAUCCAUGCCUUUGAUCUUCUUUUUCCGUGAUUC